rnacentral:sRNA from 1 species
GCCGAAGCGGCCGCCGCUGCCGCUGCAGCAGCAUUCGCUGAGGCCAUUACGGCCGCCACAGCGGCAUUAUUGGUGGAUGCUGCAGCCGCUGCUGCUGCUGC